UGUGAAAGAGGCGAUACAAAAACUGUGAUUUGAUCAAACUUCUUUUCAAAGAGUCUCCAAUAAUUUUUCUCCCUAGCCUCUUUGUUCUCUGCUACUUGAACAAAUGUUCUCCUGGUGCUAGGUUUCAAACUUUGGGUUUAUGGAAGAACAAGAUGAAGUGAAAGAUUUAUGGUUGCCCAAGUAAAGACGCAUGAAUAUUGAUUCAAAACUCGAAACUGCUUCUAAUUUUCUAAAGGUACAAUGGAGUCCCCGAGAGCAAAAGGAGAGGAAAUCACUCAUUUAAAGCGUAAAGCGCAAAAAGGUCAAUUCACAUGCGAUAUUUGGAGCUAGCUACGGUUGAGUAAGAAGGAGGUUAGGCAGUCAGUUCUCUGAAACUGACAAGCCUAACAUUUCAGACAGCCCUUAUCCAAUGGCUGGGUGCAUGUAGUUGUUUCAUUCAUUACAACCCCAAUACCCAGAGAAACAUUUUCUCUUCUCAUUAUUGUGCUUUUGUCUGAUUAAGAAAAGAGAGGAACUGAAAUAGCGGUUAUACUAUCAUUCUCAGAGAGGAAGAGAGGAAUUGAUAGAAGAAUUAGGGCUUGAGAUCUGAGAAAUUAGAGUCUGUUAUUGCGACUUGACGAAGAUUAAAGAGUGGGUUGGCUUUGAAUUCGAAGAUGAUAAAAAGGGUUUUGAUCUGGAGAUGAAUCUGAUGAUGCUACUGAUGAAGAAAUCGAUAUUUAGGGUUUGAUUGCUUACAUUAAUUGAAAAUGAAGAUGAAUUUUGUUAUGUGGAGGCUGUAGCUCAAGAAGGCAAUGAUUACAGGGUUUGUUCUGAAAUUGCAGAUGCAGGCAAAGAUGGGCAUUGGAAAUUGGUAACCUUAGAUGUGAAAUUAGGGUCUGAGCUAUACAGGCUGAUGUUGAUGUUCGAAUUGAUGGCUGGAAAACGAGAAAACAACGAGAUGGAGAUGAAGUUGAUGUUGUUAUAGGUUUGAGAACAAGGUAUACUGUUCAGUUGGAAGUGAUGAAGCUGCAGAGAGUAUGAAUGUGGAUCUGUGAUGGAAGAAGAGAUGGGUAAGAAGAUGGGUCUGAGUGAAUGAAACUGAAAUAGUUCAGGCAGUUGAAGCUCAGGUGGAUGGAUGAACUCAGGUGAAGCAAAUGGGUUGAAUUGCAGAGACAGUUCUGGUGCUCAAGUUAUGGUGAUGAUUGAGAAGAUAAAUUGCAGGUGAUGCUGUGGUUCAAGAGCAUUGCAGGGCUGUGUGGCAGCAGUGGUGAAUUCAAGUUGUUGCUGUCAAUUUUGGCUUAGUUGCAGAAUGCAGAGUUUCUGCUAAUGGUGGCAGCGUGCAAAUGAGGUAGUGAACUUGUGUGCAAACACUGCUUUAUGGUUUGGUGGUUGAAUGUGGUGAGCUGAAAUUACAUAAAUGGAAUGGUGCAAAUGAGCUGGAACUGAAGCAUUCACUUGUAUGGAACUGGAAUUGGUGGACUCUAUUUGUUGGAGUUGCAGCUACAUAGUAGUUGGUAUUGCACAAGUGAAGCAUUGAUGGUAAUUCUGAUGAAUUUGGAGCUGAUUACAAUUGCUAGAGGAUGUAAUGGUGCCGACGGCUGUUAAGUGAGGACCAAAUGUGAAGACAUAUGAAUCUUAAAUGGUUUCUGAAUCAUGGGUUUUCUGGGAGUGAUAUUGCAGGUGCAUGGACAUGUUUGUCUAUUCGUGGUGUUUGCGAGUCUUCAUAAUGGGUUAUUACAGGGAACUGGAGGCGCAUAUAUCCAGUUGUGGGUUAAGUUCGUGGAGACAAUAGGCAGUGAUUUGAGUAUGGCUUGAGAACGGGUUUGAGCUUGUGGUGAUUCAAAGAGAAAUGCAGGUAGAAAUGAGCUCCUUGAGCUUAUAUGAGUCACAAGAACAAGGUGAUGCAGCUGUAGAAGAUGGACCUGGUAAUUCAGUUGGGGUGGUGGAAGCAGCUGCAAUGAGAUGCUGUGGCUGGCAACAAAUGGAGCUACAGAUAAAGCUAGUGGUGUUGAUCAAGUUAGAGUUAUGCAGUUGCAGCUGGCGUUGGUUGGCUGCAAGAGUAUUCUAUCUUGAGCUGAAAUGCAGCUGAAACAAGACAUGACUUUGAUGCUGAGAAGAACGAAGAAGAAGAUUGCGCGAGUGUUUUGCUGGUAUGGAGAUGCGAUUCGAAGUGCAGCAGUCUGUACAGGGGUUGUCUGGCAGUGGCUUGGACCUGAGCUAGAAGGAUACAUGAUAUGCAGAUUUGGGCGCAAAUUUAUCUAAUUAUGGAAGGAGUUUAUUUACUUGAAAAUAGCCAGAGAAGGUUGUUUUGGCCUUCAUGUUUACUGAGUUGUACGGUUGAGAUUUGGAGGCUGGCAGGGUCCGUAUUAAACAAGGAAAGUGAGUCUUCUUAGGUCACGAUAUUGGUGGUUAGAAGCAGACAAGAAGAUUGUUGUUGUGCAGUUGAACUGGUGCAGUGGAGGCAGAAAUGCAGUUGUGAUAAUAGCCGAACAAGAAAGAACUGGUGGUAAUGAAGUAUAAUGUGCUGAGUAUCCGAGUGAAAUUGGUUGAUGCAGUCUAUGUGAAGCUACAGGAAAUGGGAAUUGUAGAUAGUGCUAUUGUCGUGACUGCAACUGAGUUGGCUAAGCAAGGAGGCACUGCAGCUACAAAUACAGAUGGGAGCUUGCAAGGGACUGAAAGGAUUGAAUGAAUGCUACAGAUGAAUGAUGGAUGCAUGCUAGGAUGAUUGGUGCAGGGAAGCUGAAACAUGGCCUGGAACAUGCCAGAACAGACAUAACUCUAGCUGAAUCGGGCUCAGCCGAGUUAACUCGCUGAUCCACACAAAUGGACUUGGGCUCUGAGAUUUGGGCUUGGUUUAUGGGAUGUGAGAGAGUUAAUUGGAGUUGACGGCAGAAUUGGAAAGCUGUAUAAGAAGGGUUUGAGAAUACACAACAAGGAGGGAAUCUUUACUUCUACUUUUGCCUAGGGUUUAGAAAACAUGAAAACUUUUCUCUUUCUUCUUGUGAUGAACCUCGUUAACAUGAGUAGUUAAUUUUAUCAUUGGUUAUGGAA